AGUGAACGCUGGCGGUAGGCCUAACGCAUGCAAGUCGAACGGCAGCACAGUAAGAGCUUGCUCUUACGGGUGGCGAGUGGCGGACGGGUGAGGAAUACAUCGGAAUCUACUUUUUCGUGGGGGAUAACGUAGGGAAACUUACGCUAAUACCGCAUACGACCUACGGGUGAAAGCAGGGGAUCUUCGGACCUUGCGCGAUUGAAUGAGCCGAUGUCGGAUUAGCUAGUUGGCGGGGUAAAGGCCCACCAAGGCGACGAUCCGUAGCUGGUCUGAGAGGAUGAUCAGCCACACUGGAACUGAGACACGGUCCAGACUCCUACGGGAGGGAGCAGUGGGGAAUAUUGGACAAUGGGCGCAAGCCUGAUCCAGCCAUACCGCGUGGGUGAAGAAGGCCUUCGGGUUGUAAAGCCCUUUUGUUGGGAAAGAAAAGCAGCAGGUUAAUACCCCGCUGUUCUGACGGUACCCAAAGAAUAAGCACCGGCUAACUUCGUG
rnacentral:rRNA from 1 species